rnacentral:pre_miRNA from 1 species
UAUUAAAUUAAUUCAUCCAUUUCUAUUGUUAUAAACCGAUACGGUUGAUCGAAUGACCAAAUAAUUAUACGUGACACAUUAUGUUUACCUCAUGUUGACGUACAUAGGUCAUUUUUUAAUAGUAGAAAUUGGUGAAUUUUUUAACA